GAUGAACGCUAGCUACAGGCUUAACACAUGCAAGUCGAGGGACCGGCGCACGGGUGAGUAACACGUAUCCAACCUUCCCUUUCCUCGGGGAUAGCCUUUCGAAAGAAAGAUUAAUACCCGAUAUAAAGGAUGGGGAUGCGUUCCAUUAGGUUGUUGGGGAGGUAACGGCACACCAAGACUUCGAUGGAUAGGGGUUCUGAUAGGAAGGUCCCCAACAUUGGAACUGAGACACGGUCCAAACUCCUACGGGAGGCAGCAGUGAGGAAGAUUGGUCAAUGGGCGUUAGCCUGAACAAGCCAAGUAGCGUGAAGGAUGAAGGCUUAUGGGUCGUAAACUUCUUUUAUAUAAGAAUAGGUAUUAUAUGAAUAAGGAUCGGCUAACUCCGGGCCAGCCGCCGCGGUAAUUC
rnacentral:rRNA from 1 species